AUUGAACGCUGGCGGCAUGCCUUACACAUGCAAGUCGAACGGUAACAGGUCUUCGGAUGCUGACGAGUGGCGAACGGGUGAGUAAUACAUCGGAACGUGCCUAGUAGUAGGGGAUAACUACUCGAAAGAGUGGCUAAGACCGCAUGAGAUCUACGGAUGAAAGCAGGGGAUCGCAAGACCUUGUGCUACUAGAGCGGCCGAUGGCAGAUUAGGUAGUUGGUGGGAUAAAAGCUUACCAAGCCGACGAGCGGUAGCUGGUCUGAGAGGACGAUCGGCCAAACGGGGACUGAGACACGGCCCAGACUGCUACGGGAGGCAGCCGUGGGGAAUUUUUGACCAUGGGCGCAAGCCUGAUCCAGCAAUGCAGCGUGCAGGAUGAAGGCCUUCGGGUUGUAAACUGCUUUUGUACGGAACGAAAAGCCCUGGUGUAAUACCCUGGGGUCAAGACGGUACCGUAAGAAUAAGCACCGGCUAACUACGUGCCAGCCGCCGCAGUAA
rnacentral:rRNA from 1 species